rnacentral:lncRNA from 1 species
GUAGAAUGUGUAGAAUGUUAGAAUAUUGUAGAAUAUUGUAGAAUGUUAGAAUAUUGUGGAAUAUGAAGAAUGUUAGAAUAUUACAAGGCUGUGUAUUGAGUACAGCUGUUUGAACUUGACUUCAAUCAAGCUCUAAUUGGGGCAAAACAUCCUUUUCCAAGUCACUUACUGUGUCCUAAAAGUGAUGAAUUAUAGAAGGAUGGGAAAGCAGAACAAAGACAGGAAGGCUUCAGAAGGAGCUGCCAGGCACCAGUUCCUGCACAUUUCCAUCAGAGCAGCUCGUGUGGUGCUGAUCUGGAAUUCAGAGCUAAAUCUCAGAUUUAAAAGAGGUCCCAGGAUGGAAAUGGAUUCUGUUUCUGGCUGGGUGGAUUUCAACAGCCACCAAGAGAGGACAGAAGGGUAUUAGGAGAAAACAUGAAAGAAGCAAAGACAUCUCUUAGCUGCAGGGAUUAGGGCGGUGUGAUUGCUCAGGAGCCACUGGAGUCAGUGAUGGAAAUCACUCAGCACUUUCCAAAUUCCUGGGGAAUUCCAGCCCAGCUGCUUCCACACUUUUUGUUGUUUGAAGUUUUGUACUGAUAACUGCAAAGCUGGAGAUGAGAGAUGAAAUCAAAACUUCUGUUAGAAAUCAAAACGCUGAAGCUCUUCGCUUUCUAAA